CGCCGCGGUUAUACGAGUAGGCCCAAGUGGAUAGAAUUCGGCGUAAAGAGUGGUUAAUAGAAUCUUAUACUAAAGCCGAACGCCCUCAAAGCAGUUAUACGCAUUCGAGGGUAUGAAGCCCCACAACGAAAGUGGCUUUAAACACUAUUGAACCCACCAAAGCUAGGGAA
rnacentral:rRNA from 1 species